rnacentral:misc_RNA from 1 species
AAAGGUCGUAACAAGGUUUUCCCGUAGGUGAUCCUGCGGAAGGAUCAUUAUCGUAGGGCUUCGGCCCUGUCGAGAUAGAACCCCUUGCCUUUAUGAGUACCGUCCGUUUCCUCGGCAGGGUCCGCCUGCCGAUGGACCCAAAAUCCAAACCCUUUUUAUUACCCUGUAUCAGUCUGAAAAAGUAGACAAAAGUUAAAAG